AGUGGAUGGGGAGCAACCUAGUUGUGCGUGUGUAAAGGUAGUGCCAAGAAAAGCGAUGAUCAUGUUGAAAAUCAAUUCCCGGUACCCGAAACCGACACAGGUGGGCAAGUAGAGAAUACUAAGGGGCGCGAGGUAACUCUCUCCAAGGAACUCGGCAAAAUGACCCCGUAACUUAGGGAGAAGGGGUGCCACCGAGAGGUGGUCGCAGUGAAGAGGCCCAGGCGACUGUUUAGCAAAAACAUAGGUCUCUGCAAACUCGAAAGAGGAGGUAUAGGGGCUGACGCCUGCCCAGUGCCGGAAGGUUAAAGAAGUUGGUCAGUUUUAGGAUGAAGCUAGCGACUGAAGCCCCGGUGAACGGCGGCCGUAACUAUAACGGUCCUAAGGUAGCGAAAUUCCUUGUCGGGUAAGUUCCGACCCGCACGAAAGGCGUAACGAUCUGGGCGCUGUCUCGGAGAGAGGCUCGGCGAAAUAGGAUUGUCUGUGAAGAUACGGACUACCUGCAUUUGGACAGAAAGACCCUAUGAAGCUUUACUAUAGCUUGGAAUUGUGUUCGGGCUUCCUGUGCGCAGGAUAGGUGGGAGGCGUAGAAGGUAUUCUUGUGGGGAUACUGGAGCCAACGGUGAGAUACCACUCUCAGGAGGCUAGAAUUCUAACUUAAUUAAGGACAGCUUCAGGUGGGUAGUUUGACUGGGGCGGUCGCCUCCAAAAAGGUAACGGAGGCGUACAAAGGUUCCCUCAGACUGGUUGGAAAUCAGUCGAAGAGUGCAAAGGCAGAAGGGAGCUUGACUGCGAGAAGUACAGUUCGAGCAGGGUGGAAACACGGUCUUAGUGAUCCGACGGUGCUGUGUGGAAGGGCCGUCGCUCAACGGAUAAAAGUUACUCUAGGAUAACAGGCUGAUCUCCCCCAAGAGUUCACAUCGACGGGGAGGUUUGGCACCUCGAUGUCGGCUCAUCGCAACCUGGGGCGGAAGUACGUCCCAAGGGUUGGGCUGUUCGCCCAUUAAAGCGGUACGUGAGCUGGGUUCAGAACGUCGUGAGACAGUUCGGUCCAUAUCCGAUGUAGGCGUGAGAAUAUUGAGAGGAGCCUUCCUUAGUACGAGAGGACCGGGAAGGACGCACCGCUGGUGUACAUGUUAUGAUGCCAAUUGUAAACGCAGGGUAGCCAAGUGCGGAGAGGAUAACCGCUGAAAGCAUCCAAGUGGGAAGCCCACCUCAAGAUGAGUAUUCUGGUGUAAGGUCACGGGAAGACGACCCGUAAAUAGGCACGAGGUGGAAGUGCAGAGAUGUAUGAAGCCGAAGUGUACUAAUAGACCGUCGGCUUGAC
rnacentral:rRNA from 1 species